GCUGGGCAUGGUGGUGCACACCUGUAAUCCCAGGAUUUGGGAGACUGAGGCAGGAGGAUCUUGAGUUCAAGGCCAACCUCAGCAAUUUAGUGAGGCCCUAAACAAUCAUUGAGACCCUGUCUCUA
rnacentral:sRNA from 1 species